rnacentral:siRNA from 1 species
AGUGAAGUUGUACUGCGCCGGCA